GCACGACCAGACAUGCCGCACGCAUAUAUGCACACAUUAGUUUUUUGGUAUUUCUCCUUAAGGCAAUUGCGUUGGUGGUGCAUAGAAGGAUGCCCACACUCUCUUCUUCCACAUGACAGACGGCGGAGGUACGCCUCCUCCCUCCUUCCAUCUCACAAAUCUAUGCCAGGAAGGAUAGAUGUGACCUUCAAGGCGGUGGUGCAAGAUCUCGAUCUGAGUGGGAUGGACAGACGCGACAACCCAGACGGUAGCACUAACGCGGGAGGGACGGAAGGAGAUGAGGAGGUCCAAAAGUCGAUGGCUGAUCGACUUUUCUGUCAUAGAAAGUUUUGGGCGCAAACGGCAGAACCUACAUAUUAUCUAGGGUCUACCCAAAAAAGGCCAAAAGUCACACAUGUUCUUCUUGAAAGUGGGCAGUCCAAUCUCCAGAUCACAUCUCUGAGAGUCUCGGAGAUGAGGAACGUGAAUAUUUUCAUACUUUAGGCUCUUAUGAAUAUUUAAGAUUUAGUCAUCGACUUGACCUGUUCGAUGAUCUUCAUAUUUCAAUAUUUAGUCAUUGGCUUGA